CCUACGGGGUGCAGCAGUGGGGAAUAUUGGGCAAUGGGCGCAAGCCUGACCCAGCAACGCCGCGUGAAGGAAGAAGGCUUUCGGGUUGUAAACUUCUUUUCUCAGGGACGAAGCAAGUGACGGUACCUGAGGAAUAAGCCACGGCUAACUACGUGCCAGCAGCCGCGGUAAUACGUAGGUGGCAAGCGUUAUCCGGAUUUACUGGGUGUAAAGGGCGUGUAGGCGGGACUGCAAGUCAGAUGUGAAAACCACGGGCUCAACCUGUGGCCUGCAUUUGAAACUGUAGUUCUUGAGUACUGGAGAGGCAGACGGAAUUCCUAGUGUAGCGGUGAAAUGCGGAGAUAUUAGGAGGAACACCAGUGGCGAAGGCGGCUUACUGGACUGUAACUGACGUUGAGGCUCGAAAGCGUGGGGAGCAAACAGGAUUAGAUACCCCAGUAGUC
rnacentral:rRNA from 1 species